rnacentral:rRNA from 1 species
AUUGAACGCUGGCGGCCUGCCUUACACAUGCAAGUCAAACGGUAACAGGUUAAGCUGACGAGUGGCGAACGGGUGAGUAAUGUAUCGGAACGUGCCCAGUCGUGGGGGAUAACGUAGCGAAAGCUACGCUAAUACCGCAUACGAUCUACGGAUGAAAGCGGGGGAUCGCAAGACCUCGCGCGAUUGGAGCGGCCGAUAUCAGAUUAGGUUGUUGGUGAGGUAAAAGCUCACCAAGCCUGCGAUCUGUAGCUGGUCUGAGAGGACGACUAGCCAAACUGGAACUGAGACACGGUCCAGACUCCUACGGGAGGCAGCAGUGGGGAAUUUUGGACAAUGGACGCAAGUCUGAUCCAGCAAUGCCGCGUGCAGGACGAAGGACUUCGGGUUGUAAACUGCUUUUGUACGGAACGAAACGGUGAGCUCUAAUACAGUUUGCUAAUGACGGUACCGUAAGAAUAAGCACCGGCUAACUACGUGCCAGCAGCCGCGGUAA